rnacentral:rRNA from 1 species
UACGUAGGUGGCAAGCGUUGUCCGGAUUUACUGGGCGUAAAGAGCGCGCAGGCGGUCGUUCAAGUCGCGUGUGAAAGCCCCCGGCUCAACUGGGGAGGGUCACGCGAUACUGAUCGACUCGAAGGCAGGAGAGGGUAGUGGAAUUCCCUGUGUAGUGGUGAAAUGCGUAGAUAUCGGGAGGAACACCAGUGGCGAAGGCGACUACCUGGCCUGUUCUUGACGCUGAGGCGCGAAAGCUAGGGGAGCAAACGGG